UACAGAGGUCCCGAGCGUUGUUCGGAUUCACUGGGCGUAAAGGGUGCGUAGGCGGUCGGGUAAGUCUGAUGUGAAAUCUCACAGCUUAACUGUGAAACUGCAUUGGAUACUAUUCGGCUUGAGAGUUGGAGGGGGGACUGGAAUUCUUGGUGUAGCAGUGAAAUGCGCAGAUAUCAAGAGGAACACCAGUGGCGAAGGCGGCCGGCUGGGGGUGCCCUGACGCUGAGGCGCGAAAGCGUGAGGAGCGAACCGG
rnacentral:rRNA from 1 species